GACGGCACACACAAUUGUCCAGCAUCAACCAAAUGUGUGAACAGUCCACCGGGUAACUACAGUUGCCAAUGUGAAGAGGGGUAUACAAUGGUAGAUAACCAGUGUAAACUGAUAUGCGGAAGCAAGACCUGCGCUGACAAAGCUAACUGUUUACACAAUCGCCGUUGCGUGUGUCAGAAGGGUUACUAUGGUAUCGGUCAUAUUAACUGUUCAGAUACCUGUGGUGGACACGAGUGCGUGAAGUUUUCAAAUUGCAAUCGAAACAAAUGCAAGUGUAACCGAGGCUUCUAUGGAAAUGCAACUGUGGAAUGUAAAA